AUGAACGCUGGCGGCGUGCCUAAUCCAUGCAAGUCGAGCGAACAGACGAGGAGCUUGCUCCUCUGACGUUAGCGGCGGACGGGUGAGUAACACGUGGAUAACCUACCUAUAAGACUGGGAUAACUUCGGGAAACCGGAGCUAAUACCGGAUAAUAUAUUGAACCGCAUGGUUCAAUAGUGAAAGACGGUUUUGCUGUCACUUAUAGAUGGAUCCGCGCCGCAUUAGCUAGUUGGUAAGGUAACAGCUUACCAAGGCAACGAUGCGUAGCCGACCUGAGAGGGUGAUCGGCCACACUGGAACUGAGACACGGUCCAGACUCCUACGGGAGGCAGCAGUAGGGAAUCUUCCGCAAUGGGCGAAAGCCUGACGGAGCAACGCCGCGUGAGUGAUGAAGGUCUUCGGAUCGUAAAACUCUGUUAUUAGGGAAGAACAAAUGUGUAAGUAACUAUGCACGUCUUGACGGUACCUAAUCAGAAAGCCACGGCUAGCUACGUG
rnacentral:rRNA from 1 species